CUGGCUCAGAUUGAACGCUGGCGGCAGGCCUAACACAUGCAAGUCGAGCGGUAGCACGGGAGAGCUUGCUCUCUGGGUGACGAGCGGCGGACGGGUGAGUAAUGUCUGGGGAUCUGCCUGAUGGAGGGGGAUAACUACUGGAAACGGUAGCUAAUACCGCAUAACGUCGCAAGACCAAAGAGGGGGACCUUCGGGCCUCUUGCCAUCAGAUGAACCCAGAUGGGAUUAGCUAGUAGGUGNGGUAAUGGCUCACCUAGGCGACGAUCCCUAGCUGGUCUGAGAGGAUGACCAGCCACACUGGAACUGAGACACGGUCCAGACUCCUACGGGAGGCAGCAGUGGGGAAUAUUGCACAAUGGGCGCAAGCCUGAUGCAGCCAUGCCGCGUGUAUGAAGAAGGCCUUCGGGUUGUAAAGUACUUUCAGCGAGGAGGAAGGCGUUAAGGUUAAUAACCUUGGCGAUUGACGUUACUCGCAGAA
rnacentral:rRNA from 1 species